rnacentral:tRNA from 1 species
GGCGUCGGUGCCGCGCCCGGCGGUGGCGGCGGCUUCCAGGGCCGUCCCGGCCAGCGCGGCGGUGCGGCCGGUGCGUUCGGCCGUCCCGGUGGCGC